UAGAGUGUGUCCAUUUCCAACCACCGUUAGCUCAGAAGUCGUUACCUUGUCUGUAGUUCCCAGCGCUGGAGCCGCAGCUGUAGGAACCGCCGCCACUGUAGGAGCGGUCGCCAAGCCAUCACAGAAGCCGCCGCCUCUGCCUGAGCCACCGCCUGAGCCACCGCCAGAGCCAGAGCCGGAGCCUCAGCCAAUGCCGCCACUGGAGGAGGAGCGGACACUGAGCAGGAGCAGACGCCAAAGCCGCUAACGUAACCGUUAAGACCACUACCGGAGCCAAUGCCGGAACCAACGCCGCCGCUGUCCACCCAGAGCCAACGCUUUCGCUGCCAGAGCACUGGAACCUUUGAAGCCAACACUGCACUUAGAGGGUAGGAGCUGCUGCCGCUGCCGCUGCCUCUGCUAUUGCGCCAGCCCGGAGUCAACUCCAUCGCCGCUGCUGCAGGAGCACAGGAACCUUGGUAGCUAAUGCCGGGUGUGUAGGAGCCGCCGCCUCCCGGGAGCCACUGGAAUGCUGGAGCCAAGGCCACAGGAGCUCAGAGCCGGCCACGUCAGGACCUAAGCCGAAAGGAAGCUGCGCAAGACUUGGCUGUGAUCCCCAGCGGGUAAGGAGGGCGCGAGGAAGGACUAGACAGCCUCCGCCGCUUCCACUGCGAGAUCACCCGCGCAUUUCUGGCUGAUCCCCCAGGGGUGAGACCCAGCAGAAGUCUUGGAGCACCUUGAAGGAGGAGGGCCUUUGAUCUAAGCAGUUAAAAAAGAAGCUAACAUACCAUACAGUUGGAAUUAAGAACAAGAUUCAUAAAGUCAUCUUAUACAUGCAGAAAAAGGUCUUGAUGCAAUAGAUAAAACAAUAAUUUCAAAAAUAAUGCAGAAACAUGGCAGAGAAGGAGCCUAACCUCAAUAUUAUAAAAGCUAUAUAUGAGAAAUGUGAAGCUAACAUCACACUAAACUGAUAAAAAUUAAAGGUUUUCCUCAAAUUUCAGGAGCAAGACAUGAAUGUUGACUUUUACCACUUCUAUUUAAUACAGUUUUCAAAAGUAAAGUCAGAACAAUCAGGCAAAAGUAGAAAUUUAAAAGGAUACAAAUAGAAAAAUAAGAAGCCAAAUUCUCCCUUUUACUUGGUGAUAAGAUUUUAUAUUUAGAAGACUCAAAAAUUGUCACCAAAAAAAUUCUAGACCUGAUAAAUUUAGCAACGUAGUAGGAUAAAAGAUCAACACUCAUAAAUCUAUAGCAUUAUUAUACAGUGAUUCAGCUGAAAAAAGAAUUCAAUAAAACCAUCACUUUCACAAUAGUCUGAAAAAACACCUGGGGAUUAAUCUAACCAAGGUGGUGAAAUAACUCGAGAAUGAAAACCGUAGAACACUGAAAAAGAAAUCUAAGAACUCAGAAGAUGCAGAGACCUACUUUCCAUGUUCUUGGAUAGGCAGAAUUAAUAUUGUCAAAAUGGCCAUGCUACCAACAGCAAAAUUCAGAUUGAAUGCAUUCAAUACAAUUCCCUUCAAAAUACAAAUGAUGUUUCUUACAGUAUUGAAAAACCAGCCCUGAAAUUUAUUUGGGAUAAUAGUAAUAAUAAUUUGACAAAGAAAUUCUGAGCAAGAAAAAGUGUUGUAGAAGCCAUCACAAUACUCAAUCUCAAAUUUUACUACAGAAAUGAGUAGCAAAAACUGUAUUGUAUUGGCCUCAAAAUAGAUAUGAAUAUCAGUAGAAUAGAAUAUACCACAUAGAGACAACCCACUUGAUACUUAGUGCCACCUGAUACCUGACAAGGGCACCAACAUAUAUGUUAAUGGGAGAUAAUGGUACACUGAUCCAUUGUUGGUGGGACUGCAAAUUAUUAUGACAACUCUGGAAAGCAAUAUGGAAAUUCCUGAAAAACCCACCAGUGAAACCCAUAUGACUCAGCUAUUACAUUCCUCUCUACUUUUUCAAAAGAACUACAAAUCAGAAUACUAUGGUGAUACAAUCACUUACAUGUUUUCAGCAGGUAAAUUCAUAGUAAAUACAUUGUAAGAUCAACCCAGAUGUCCAUCAACAGUUGAAUGGAUGAAGUGCCCAAAAUUCAAUGGUAACUAGAUCUUCACUUCUGGAGCUAUAGCACUGCUGAAUGGCUCAAAGCAUAUAAACUUGUACACACCAAACAAAAGAAGAAUUGGAACUCUGAAUAUAUUAGAAUAAUUAUUGAAAAAUGGACACAAUGACUGGAUUUCCACAGCACUUUGUCUGACUUUUCUUUGGGGUAAACACUGUUUGUUGGCAACAGGUGGACUCAUUUGGCCCAAGGCCUGCAGAAGUCUUCUGGAUGUUUUGACUUCUUACAAUGCUUACAUGGGAGGCAAGAACCUGGAAAAUGUGAUAAAACAGUUGUUGACUGUGCUAGCAAGAAAACAGAGUUAUCAAUAAUAAUUCAAAUAACAGUUCAAGAAACUUUAAUUGACAAGAGAUAAUUGUAAAUAUCUGGGAGUACAAUUUGAGCCUUUUAAUUUAAGUAUUCAUAAUACAAUAAUAGCAUGCCCAUGAACUUAGAUAUUUGUUGUAGUUUUUUUUUCUUUUUCCCUGAUGAGAAUUCUUUCAUUUUAAACAACAAGAAUGAUCAUUAGUUGACUGAAAUAGGUCAGGCACAGAAGGACAAAUGCUGCAUAAUAUUGAGAGCUGUUUAUUGGAAGUGAAAAAUUGAUCUUAUAAAACCCAAGAGUAGAAUAUUAGUUACCAGAGCAGGGGAGAGAAUGUUACAAUUGAAUAUUAGGGAAAAAAAAGUUCUGGUGUACUUUUUUGCAGUCUGUGACCAGAGUUGAAAAUAACACACUCUAUGUUUCAAUAAAUUUUAGAGAGAGGGAUUUGAAUGUUAUUAGAAUUCACAGUGUUGAACUCAUUUUUCACCAUUAGGAUAGCAAAGCCCCUGAGUCAGAUUGGGCUUUAGGAUGACACUGCAAUGUGAUGAAGUUUAAAAGCCCACAAAAUGUUGUGUGUGUAAACACAUUUACUAAGGUGAAAUCACAGAACGGUAGUGAGAACAGUGACCACAAGCAGAGGCUGUGGUUGGUCAUGUGGCUUAUGUUGAAAUCCUACCUGAAUGUUACCUACCUGUGAGAGUUAAAUAAACCCCUCUGUGCCUCAAUUGCUUGUUGGAAGAUGCAAAAGUGUUCAUCUGAUCCACGUAAUGUUAUAAGGCUGACAGUGAUCACAUACAGACAGUCUUAAGAAGACUGAUGUGUCAUGUAUGUGCUAAAGAGCCAUAUCAUUAAAUAGGAUGCUUCAUUAAAUGUGUGGAAGAAUAAGCUCAAUCUUUGACAGUGUUUGAACAGAGAGGUGUCAAACAGAUGUCAUCCUCCAGGGCAGUGGGUGAAGAAAGUCUAUUCUUCAUUCUUUACAUAGAUGGAUGUUUGUAAAGCUCAUGGAGAAUAUUUAUGACCCCCUGUAACUCCAUAUCAGCAUGAAGAUAUGGGUGGAUCAGAGUCUGUCAGCCACAAUUUUGAGUUUAGGUGUUUGAAAUUUGGAGAUUUUAUGUGACUUGCCCAGAUUCACAACAGUCAUGAGUGGUGGAUGUGGGACAGGAUUGUAGUUAUUUACCUGGGACCAAAGAUCCCUGAGCCCUUGAGUCCUCUAGUGGACACCCUGGAACUAGGAACCCAGAACUCUUCUUAGUCUUUCUUAAAUGCUUCUCCUCUCAGGCCUCCUUGGUAAGAGGCCUUAGUCCCAGAGGAUUGACUGAUCCAAGAAAAAUGUUCAUGUUAUAACCCAGGCUCCUGCCUCUUCAUUACAGUUACUGACUAAAAAUAUGAUGAUUUCAUGCAAAUGAAGUCUAUCUGAAAGUCAAUAGUAGAGUCCACACUUGUGGCCAUCAUCCCCCAGGAUCGUCUCACUGCUUGCUGCCUCACAAUGAGACUUCCUGAUGAGCAGUUGACCACCCAAAUCAUCAGAGCUCUGUAGGGCUCAGAAACUGUUUUAGAAAUUGGGACAUUCUAAACCAACUGCCAUUUGAUGGCUGUGCCAAGAAUGAAGUUUCCUUCUGCUUUUCCCACCUGGGGUGGCCUGUUAAUGUGAAUUAAUUUGGGGAAACAGAUACCCUGGCUUAUGCUUUGGUGUUUCAGUGUCGUAAAUUGUCCUGACCCCAUGUCUGCAUACUAAUAUUCUGAGCCAUCAUCUGAGCAGCCAGACAAAGGUCUGGCUGAAAACAUCAUUGCUGCAGGUACACCAACUCUGAUCAGGCAUAUUCUUGCUCCUGGCCUUAGAUGCCUCUAUCUAGACCCUGCAGAGCCAGGAGCCAAAGACUAUCUGCCUCACAUGAACCCACCAAUAACUACAACCUGUGAACCUCCACCAAUGAAUUCUCCAUAAAGAGCACCAAAGCCUUCAUUUUUUCUGUUCUCAGAUGUCCACUCCACUGACCUCAUGGCACUGUCCUUCCUGCCUCCUUCCCAGGAGCCCCCACACACCAGGGAUUUUGUAGACAUCAACCACUUGGAAACUUUCCCCAAAAUCUCAGUCCUUUUUUCUUCAUACUAAUGUCUUGAUUUAGACUUCUCUAAUAUUAUUUUUAGAUGUUAAUAUACAUUCAGAUGAGUUUGGCCUCUAGUUGCCCUUUCAUGGGAUAUAUAUUGCCAUUCUUAGCAUCCAUAUACUCUCUUUCACUUUAUUUCUUGAUCUCAUGAAAGCAAGGUGGAUGUUGUCCCCCUUUUUGUUUAUUUGCUUCAAGAGUACACAUGAUGCUGGCAUUAGGAAAUGUCCAUUUUACUAAAUUUAGAAAAAUAGUUUUGGUAACCAGGUCAAUAGAACAAGCAAAUAUAUAAAUUGAGUGAUAAAACAAAAUCACAAAAUAUUUAAAUCUCAGCAGAGAAGAUUCAGUGUGGGAAAUUAAAAAAAUCAAUAGUAAAAUGUAUUUAGUAAAUGUUAUUUGAUCCCUUUGAACAUACAGUCUUGAAAAUAUCAUUGUCAACAUACCUUCACCGCAGCACUUUAGAUUUCCCAUGACUGACUAGCAUUUCAAAAAUUCCCUAUACUUCUCCAACUUUAACACCAACUCACUCACCACAGCAACUGACAGUUGACAUGGAAGGUAAAAUGUGCAUCCCAAAUUACCAUUAUAGAAUUUUCAUUGUGAGCACAUGUCACAUUAUGUGGUACUGCUGUUCUCUAAAUAAGCAUAUUUUACAUGUCCAAGUGUGUUGUUGAACAGUCUGUGUGUUGCUUCAAAUACUGAAACCUAGGCCCACAUAUUAAUAUUCUGUUUAUGAAAAUAAGUUAAAUCCAAAAAAAUAUUAUUCUCCCCAAAUAAUUUAAUUGAUUAUAAUAAUCUAUUGUGAAAGGAGGCAUAGCUACAAUUUUGAGAAUCAAGAGGUUCCCUUCCUGGUUUGAAAUGCCAUCCCUCCACAUUUCCCACCCUUUAUGAAUCUCCAGACAUAUGUAGAUAGAAAAAUUUAAAACUUCUUUUAGAUUCAGAAUGAAAUAUAUUCAAAGUAUUAUCAUGUAAUAGGGGAGAGAUUUUCAGGGUGGGAGAAUUUCAAGAUUACAUCCCCCAUAUUUGAAAUUUGAAAACAAAAUUAUUUUCUAUUUAGUAUUAUUUAAUUCAGUCAUUUGAAUUCAUCUUUUCUUCCAUGACUCCUGCUGAUGAAUUGGUUCUUUUGCUUAUCAUCUGACUCUGUCAUCUCAUGCCACAAGAACACAUGAUUGAAGAUGCCCAUGAUGAGGUCCAAACUAACAAAAUAUGAAAUAACUCCACAUUGUAAAGGCUAUCUAUGCUAAGCCCAAUGCAAACGUUAUUCUAACUGAGAAAAACUGGAAGCAUUUCCUCUAAAAACUGGAACAAGACAGGGAUGUCCUCUUCCACCACUUCUAUCCAACAUAAUCCUUAAAGCUCAGAGCAAUCAGAUGAAAGAAAUUAAAGGGAUACACAUAGGGAAAAAAGAACUCAAACUAUGACUAUUUUGCUGGCAAUAUGCUUCUAUAUGUAGAAGAUCCAAAAAAUCCCCCCAGAAACCUACUAGAACUAAUAAAUGAAUUCAACAAAGUAGGAGGAGAUAAAAUCACUACCCCAUAAAUCAAAUGCAUUUCUAUAAAUAAGUGAUGAAUCCACUGCAAGAAAAAGUAGGAAAACUAUUCCAUUCACAAUAGAAAAAGAAACCACAAACUUCAUUUGGAAAAAUAAGAGGCCAAGAAUAGUCAAAGCAAUCCUCUACAAGAAGAGUGAAUCAGGAGGCAUCACAAUACCAGACCUUAAACUUUACUACAGAGCCAUAGUAACAAAGAUAGCAUGGUAAUAAUACCAAAUUACACAUGUAGACAAUGGUACAAAAUAGAAAACACCACAUAAAUAUGACUAUCUCAUAUUAGACUAAGGCACCAAAAACAUAGAUUAUAAAAAAGAUAGCCUCUUCACCAAAUGAUACUGGGAAAACUGGAAAUUCAUAUGUAGCAAAUGAAAUUAAAACUCUAUCUCUCACCCUUCAAAAAAACUAACUCAAAGUGGAUCAAGACAGUAGAACAGAGACCCUGCACCUAAGAUAAGAAAAAGUAGGCCAAGUACCACAUGGACCUGUGUAUACUGGAGCAGCCACUGGCAUCAAGAGAAUCAGUGUUAUUCCCUCUGUGGACCCCAUGCCAUAGAGGUGCCUCUGACCCUGAAAGCAGAUUAAGCCCAGCGUAGGUCACAGGCUACUGGACCAUCCUGCUGCUGCUAGACUUGGCAGUAGAUUCCCAUGGUAGAGGCCUCAACUGGGAGUGGACUUUAGGCACAGGAGCCUGACCAUGAAGCAGUCUGUCCAACCUGAAGAGCCUUUGGAGCAGCAUCCUUAUGGUUUGGCUGAGCUACUGAAGAUGGGAAGCAGGGAUCCCGUCAUCAAACUCUCAGCCAAGGAUCCUCAACCAGGGCUGCAUCCUGAGGUUGCCUCUGCCCCAGACAUGUAGAUGUAUGAUCAUGUCUUGCAUUUUGUGACACAAAGGGGGAAUUAAAGCCACAACCAAAGAUUUUACAAACAAGGCCAUCUAUCUAGCUCAAUGUUAUUAACAAUGGGAGAAAAUUGGAACUAUCCUAAAUAUCCAUGAGAAAGAGUGAGACAAAGCAGUACGGCACAUCCAUCAUAAAGCAUCUUACACAAACCCUCAAAAUUAGAUUUCUGAAAGAUGGAAUCCAGCAACAAGUUUAUGCUUAAUAAAGUUAUUUGAUUAUUGGUGUGAAUAAAGCAUCAACUUCAUCAAAACUAUUUCUGAAGCAUCUCUAAUAAUGAGAAAAUUCAUUUUUAAAAAGAUAAUUUACAGAAUGUUACCAAUGAUGAUCUUAAUAUGUGUAUGCCUUUUCAAAUGCCUCUUUUCAAAAUUUAAAGAAGUUUAUUUUUUAUUUUGUUUUUUUUUAAUUUUCAAUAUUAUGUCUCUUGCUUGUAGGGUUUUACUUCAUUUCAAUUUUAGUUUUAUAAGUUUUCUGACUCUAGGAAAAUUUUCACAAGAAGAAAUAUUUCAUUUUUGUCUUCCAAAAUAAUUCUAAUAAAAUAGUAACACUUUUUGUAAAUAGGUAAGUUCUUUCAGUGAAAAAAAAAGAAAAGAGAGAAAGGUACAAAAUAUAUUAUAUACAUAAGUAUAUAAAGUAAGUAGAAAACAUUUUCUCUUAUAUUUUUCCCUCCUACCAUCUUUCCCUAAAAACCCAUUCUACUUUCCAUGGCCACUGUCAUGUUGUUCUGUAUGGUUUGACUCUUUCAUUUUAUGUGCAUCCUUGAAAACACACACACACACAAUUGGUUUUGAGAUUUUACUUUUUAAAAAUAAAGUCAUACUCUGUGUAUUACCCUGCAAUUAGCUUUUUAAGCACUUUAUUAUUGAAUUUUCUAGAUUAGUCCAUAUGAAUCUAUGGUAUCCUCAAAAUAGCUAUAUAGGGAAAGUGUAGAUGUAACAGAAUUUUGUAAUCAUUCUCCUUUUAACAAUCAUUUAGAUUGUUUCCACUAGAAAAUAUGCAUGUGAUCAUGCAUUGAAUCUGGGGUGGGGAGUGAGCAUAAUAUACUUUUGAAUCUCUAAAGAUUGAAUGUCUAAAAGUAGAAAUUCUGGAUCAGCGGAAUUCUUGAAAUUUUGUAGGUAGUUCCAAACUACUUCUAAAAGGUGUUCCAAUUUAUACUCACUACAGUGAGUGACAGUGCCCUCUUUCCCACCUCCUUGACAAUAAUGUGAUAUUGUUGAUAUUUCUAUACUUUACCCAUGUGUUGAGAAUAAAUGGAAUGUGUUGUUUUAUUAUUUCUUUGAUUAUUGGUGAAAUUUUUAUCCUUUCUUAUUUUUGACUUAGUUUAUGCCGCGUCCGGCCAAGGGAGCCGAGUCCGGCGAGGGACGGCGAGGUUAAAAGACACACAGGACACCAAGGUUCUUCAUCCAGGAGUCAAUAAUCUUUAUUGCUAACACACCUUUUUUUAUACCCCAAGCAGCAGAAGUGGAAAACUACCCAAAAGCAGGAGGGAGGGGGGAGAAAUUUAGUUUCAACAUCUAUUAUUGUCAGGUACCGAAACCUCCCUUAACAAUAAGUCCAUCAGACCAGAAAAGGUCAAGGCAUUCCCGUGGG